GGAUGUGAGGGCAGUCUGGCUGCGAUAUCUGUCACCCUAUUGAUGGCCAGGGUUGAUUCGGCUGAGCUGGCUGGCUAGGCAUGUGUCCCCUUUCUCCCUCACUGCUCUAUAUGUGUGUCCCUUCAAAGCUGCGCGCUCAGUCGAAGAGGUCGACCUUCCCCAAUAGAGAUAGACCAGUCUUAGGUCAAGGGUGUAUGAGUAACUGUGCUCCCCUGCUAGGACCUCCAAACAAGUUCUUAAAGUCAAGAAAGACUUAAAUGGGGGGUCGGGCGGUAGCACAAGAAUCCCAAUUUGAGCCCAGGCUCCCCACCUGCAGGGGGGUCAG
rfam:Erinaceus europaeus unplaced genomic scaffold scaffold00321, whole genome shotgun sequence